ensembl:lncRNA
GCCAGUUUAAGCAGUGACAGUAUCAGGCCCAAGGAUAUCAUCUAGUGGAGUAUUUAUCAUCUAGUGGAGUAUUUCAUUCCAAAAGUGGUUUCAGUGAAACAGGGGAGAGCCUGAACGUAUUGUUAGUUCAAUGCUUUGCCAUCGGCUAAGGAGUUACUGACAUUCUUGAGUCCCAUGCCAACAAGUAUCCUCCUGCCUGGUGUUGCUCAUGCCAGUAGAACAAGCCUGAGUUUGGUUCUGAGGCAAAGGAAAGCCUUGAUCAGAGAAUGGAGAGGUGGAGGCUCCUGCUGUAGAUCACAGGCUCUCCCCGACCAGUGGUGGGAUGGGGUUGCUUUAUAGAGGCUGAGAGGGUGAGUGUAGGUGUGCUGCUCAGGGCUCUGGUUGCAGUGCUGGGCGCAGCGUCAGCGCAUACGGCCACCAUCUGGAACCCCAGUGCUGUGCUCAGCGCUCCUGCAUGUGGCCCACCAGCUCGGGGCUGAGGUGUCCCGCACAGCCUCUCUGCACACUGCUUGCAGCUGUGGUCUUCAUGGUGUCGUGUGCAGCACUUCUGCACAUGGCUCCCAGCUGAGAAGUUGGGCUCAGAGCUCUCUGAUGAGGAACUCUGGUCUGAAGUGCCCUAGGUGAGGCUUCUGCAGUCACUUCCCUCUGAGCAAGUGGAAAUAGAGGAAGCACAGAAGAAAGGGAAAAGGCAUUUCUUUCUUAACAUGGACAUAUCACGUUACCUUGCCCUAUGGGAUAGAGUGGAAUUACACAAUAAGUCUAGAUGAAGAAAUCUGACUCUACCCCUACCUGCCAUGUGAACCUGGGAAGAUAUUCGGUUCUUUUGGAGUGUCUGUCUCCUGUGCUGUAAAAUGAAGACAAUGAAUGUCUACUUCAUGUUGUUAUAAGGAUUGAUGUGGGAGGGUAUACAAUACCUGCCGUAGAACACAUACCAAAUACUAGCUUUCUUUCCUAUUUUUUUCUCCAUCAAAGAGAUUUAGUUAUUGGCAGUUCAUGAGAAGAAGCUUUUUUGGGGUGUGGAGUACAUUGUGGGAGAGGUAUAGCCCCUUCAGAGGGCUCCCUAAAAAUAUCCCCAGGGACAGACCUCUAUUUUUCCUGUAGAUCUGGGUAAGCCUGGGAGGAAACCCAAAAGGUGAAGCAUUGUUUGACCUCUCAGAUUUCCCCUUCCACAGGUGGCAGGGUUCUGAUGUAAUUCCUCUUGCAAUAUCCCGAGGCUCUUUAUCAUGGAGAGAAGCCUCAUAUUGUGAAGAAAAGGUGACUUCUGGAAGUUUAGAAGAAAGGCUCAGUGUGGCAGUUCAUUAUUUUUGGUAGCCAAAUUGAAAACAAGAGGUGGAUUCAGUCUAUCUACAGAUUGCAUUCACUGGGGCAAUAUGCACCUUUGCCUCUGGGAGAAAUCUAUCAACUCUUCAUCCCUGUUUCCAUGUCAGCAAGCCACCUACACUGUGGGGACUUGGGAUAACAGGACAAGGUAAUGAAUGACUGCAUGUGUGCUAAGUUGAUUCAGUCGUUUCUGACUCUUUUCCACCCAGUGGACUGUAGCCUGCCAGGUUCCUCUGUCCAUGGCAUUCUCCAGGCAAGAAUGCUGGAGCAGGUUGCCAUGCCGUCCUCCAGGGAAUCUUCCCAACCUUGGGAUCGAAUACAUGUCUCUUAUGUCUCUUGCAUUGACAGGCUGGUUCUUUAACACUAGCCCCAGCUGAGAAACCUGUUGAUGAGUGACUACCAGUGUCUAAUGAAGACCUUGUACUAGAAACAAGCAUACUUUUUCAAUUAUGCUUUUAAUCGAUUCUUGUAAUUAUCGAUAGCCAGAGAGCAACUCUACAAGGAAGAUAGAUUUGAAUUUGGACUUCUGAUUCUAGGAUAAAGAAGCUGAUUUCAGGAUGUUAGCACUUAUAGGAAGUCUUUUAAGGUGAAUAUUACACUUGUACAAGAAAAAAAAAUUUUUUUUGAGAGGGUCACCUUUUUUUUUGUUGGCCAUCACUGACAAGAAGAAUAUGGUAGCCAGGGGUUACAGAUAUAAGACAAAUAAUACUGAAAACAGAAGUUCUUCAUAUACUAACACAAAAAUCUUCAACUUUCUCCUUGAAUUGAACUAAAUGUAACUGAGUCUACCAGAUAAAUUACUUUAUGUUUUUCCAUGAUGCUUUUUAAAUUUGGAAAACAUAUGUGAAAGUGUUACAUUUUUUAAAAAAAGAUGUAAUUUAUUGGCUUCUCUCCAUGGUGUAUUAGAUAUACAUAUUACCAACUUAGAAUUCAUGGAAAAUUAGCUUAUUCACUAGAGUUAAGAUGAAAUAAUGAAA